rnacentral:misc_RNA from 1 species
GAUGAAGAACGCAGCGAAAUGCGAUAAUAGUGUGAAUUGCAGAAUUCAGUGAAUCAUCGAAUCUUUGAACGCACAUUGCGCCCCUUGGUAUUCCAUGGGGCAUGCCUGUUCGAGCGUCAUUUGUACCUUCAAGCCUUGCUUGGUGUUGGGUGUUUGUCUCGCCUCUGCGCGCAGACUCGCCUCAAAACAAUUGGCAGCCGGCGUAUUGAUUUCGGAGCGCAGUACAUCUCGCGCUUUGCACUCAGAACGACGACGUCCAAAAGUACAUUUUUACACUCUUGACCUCGGAUCAGGUAGGGAUACCCGCUGAACUUAAGCAUAUCAAUAAGCGGAGGA